UACGUAGGGGGCAAGCGUUGUCCGGAUUUAUUGGGCGUAAAGAGCGUGUAGGCGGCUUGGUAGGUCCGCUGUGAAAACUCGAGGCUCAACCUCGAGAUGUCGGCGGAAACCACUUGGCUAGAGUCCGGAAGAGGAGAGUGGAAUUCCUGGUGUAGCGGUGAAAUGCGCAGAUAUCAGGAAGAACACCUAUGGCGAAGGCAGCUCUCUGGGACGGUACUGACGCUGAGGCGCGAAAGCGUGGGUAGCAAACAGG
rnacentral:rRNA from 1 species